rnacentral:rRNA from 1 species
GACGAACGCUGGCGGCGUGCUUAACACAUGCAAGUCGAACGGAAAGGCCCUGCUUUUGUGGGGUGCUCGAGUGGCGAACGGGUGAGUAGCACGUGAGUAACCUGCCCUUGACUUUGGGAUAACUUCAGGAAACUGGGGCUAAUACCGGAUAGGAGCUCCUGCUGCAUGGUGGGGGUUGGAAAGUUUCGGCGGUUGGGGAUGGACUCGCGGCUUAUCAGCUUGUUGGUGGGGUAGUGGCUUACCAAGGCUUUGACGGGUAGCCGGCCUGAGAGGGUGACCGGCCACAUUGGGACUGGGAUACGGCCCAGACUCCUACGGGAGGCAGCAGUGGGGAAUAUUGCACAAUGGGCGGAAGCCUGAUGCAGCAACGCCGCGUGCGGGAUGAAGGCCUUCGGGUUGUAAACCGCUUUCGCCUGUGACGAAGCGUGAGUGACGGUAAUGGGUAAAGAAGCACCGGCUAACUACGUG